UACGUAGGGGCCUAGCGUUGUCCGGAUUUAUUGGGCGUAAAGAGCUCGUAGGCGGUUCGGUAAGUCAGGUGUGAAAUCUCCACGCUCAACGUGGAGGCGCCACCUGAAACUGCCGUGACUCGAGUCCGGUAGGGGAGUGUGGAAUUCCCGGUGUAGCGGUGAAAUGCGCAGAUAUCGGGAGGAACACCAGUGGCGAAGGCGGUUCUCUGGGCAUGUCCUGACGCCGAGGAG
rnacentral:rRNA from 1 species